rnacentral:rRNA from 1 species
CACGUAGGGCGCAAGCGUUGUCCGGAAUUAUUGGGCGUAAAGAGCUCGUAGGCGGUCUGUUGCGUCCGCUGUGAAAACUCGGGGCUUAACCCCGAGCCUGCAGUGGAUACGGGCAGACUAGAGGUAGGUAGGGGAGAAUGGAAUUCCCGGUGUAGCGGUGAAAUGCGCAGGUAUCGGGAGGAACACCGGUGGCGAAGGCGGUUCUCUGGGCCUUACCUGACGCUGAGGAGCGAAAGCGUGGGGAGCGAACAGG